rnacentral:rRNA from 1 species
CCAUGAGAGUUGGAAAUACCCGAAGCCUGUGAGCUAACUUAAAGAGGCAGCAGUCGAAGGUAGAGCCAAUGAUUGGGGUGAAGUCGUAACAAGGUAAC